rnacentral:tRNA from 1 species
CAAAAUAGAGCUUGUUUUAAGUAUUUCAUUUACAUUGAAAAGAAAUUAUUAAUAAAAUAAUUAAUUUGA